GGGGUGGCCACCCCACAGGAGGGGACACACAGGCUGCCACAGGACAUGCUUCGGUUCAGGAGGAGUGGGGAAAAGCUCCUGCAUUUCCAAAGCAGAUGGAAAAUCCCCAAGCUCCCAAAGGACUUGAGUCCACUGGUACAGUCCCAGCACUGAGAAAUGGUGGAACACAGAGCCAAAGAUCCCUUGAGAAAGCCACGGACGAGGAAAGAAAGCUGGAGAACUCCUUGUCUGUGUGAACAUGUCCUGUGGCAGCCUGUGUGUCCCCUCCUGUGGGGUGGCCACCCCGGCCCCUCUGGCUGACACGUGCAACGAGCCCUGCGUGCGGCAGUGCCCCGACUCCACGGUGGUGAUCCAGCCCCCGGCCUCA